rnacentral:lncRNA from 1 species
CGGCCCGGCAGGCAUAGGAUCGAAACCCUGGAGCCUUCCCAUGUUCUCCUGGCCGCACGAGAGGAGCUCACCCUGGCCCCAUCAUGUUCACAGACUACCACCAUACGCUGGCUACAGCCGAAUGCUUCGAGAAGAGCCCCCCCCGCACCCCCCCCCCACUUCGGUCCCGCUGCGCCCCUUUCCUGGACUCCGGACUCAUCUCUAUCAGGUUAGACCCCAAGUAAACACUUCCAGGACUCUCUAACGCCUUAAAAUUCCUGGGAAAGCCUACGGGAGAGAUAUAGUCCCGCUCUUUCGACUGGGAUCCCGCAUGAUUGGUUGAAAACCCUACAUUUAAGUGGUGAGAAUGACCUCCUAACUCUGGGCAAAUCUUGUCCACUUGACGGCGACUAUCCCCACCGCAAAGCAGCUCCGUGCGCAUGGCUCCUCGCAGCCACACGGGGGCGCCCCCGCCCCGGCAACAAUACUCAGGGCCGGAGGGACUCCACUGAGAUCCCAGUCGGGGGACCGAGCUCAGGGCUAGCCAGCCAGGCUCCAACCCUCUCCGCAUCUUCUCUUGGCCUUUCUCUCUUCCGCUCAGACAGGGCCGCUGCUAAACGCGGCCUUUCCCCUCGGAACCGCACUGCCCAGCGGCCCCGCCGGGCUGGGAAGACCUGAGGGAUUAGACAGGGGUCCGGGCGGGGCUCGGACUGUUUUUUGUUUUGUUUUGUUUUCCUAAAGAGUCUCUCCCAGCUCCCUUUUGAGCUUGGGGUGGGAGUGGGGAAGUAAAAUGUUCGGAGGUACCCAGGAUGCCCUGAGGUGUAACUUUCCAGCUGCUUCCCUGCAAGCCUGAUGGGCCGGGAAGACGGGAGCUGCAGACUACCCUAAAUCCGAUCCCAGGAAUCCCAACUGCAGGGAAGGGGAGGCGAAGCCUGGCGCGCGCUUCAGCACCGCGGACAACGACUCCCCUUCAUGCUUCAGCUUAGGCAUCUCUCAGCGCUCAGAGCUCAGCGCCGCCCGCCCGCCCGGGAGUCUUCGUUGACACUGGCGUCCCAACCCGAUUUGUCUCCCGCUAUAAAAUAAGCCGCCCUUCGAGAGGAGAGCUCCUGGUAGUCCUAUUUCUACUUUCCAAGUCGUGUGUGGAGCUAUCUACAGCUAGGCUGCUGUAGACCCGGACCACAAUUCUUGAUACUUGUCAACAUUUGACCUUUCCAUUUUCCUUGGGAGGUAGGCAGGCAGGCAGGAAGUAACAUUCCCUUUUACAGAUGAGAAAGGUGAGGCCAAGAGAACAAAAGUCACAUAGCUGGUACACUUCCAUUCCUGACUGAACUGGGGCAGGGCAUCUCCAAAUACAAAUGCUUCCCCCACCCAAUCUCAUUCAAAUAGCCAAGUGGGGAAGGGAUGGUUUCACUAAGGGUGAGAACCCAUUAAAGCUGGAAGCAAACACUGA